UUUGGGGGGGUGGUCCCUCAGCCCAGAUUGUGAGAGGGCGCAGGUCAGGCCGAGGGAACCCACCAGUGCACC
rfam:Myotis brandtii contig283227, whole genome shotgun sequence.